AAGCAUAUCAAUAAGCGGAGGAAAAGAAACCAACAGGGAUUGCCCUAGUAACGGCGAGUGAAGCGGCAAAAGCCCAAAUUUGAAAUCCUCUUUUGAGGAGUUGUAAUUUGGAGAUGGAGUGCUGGACUCAGCUCUGUGGAAGUUGGCUGGAAAGCCGCGCCUUGGAGGGUGAUAGCCCCGUGCCACGGAGGUCCUGUGUCUGUGUAGUACUCUUUCUACGAGUCGCGUUGUUUGGGAAUGCAGCGCUAAGUGGGUGGUAAAUUCCAUCUAAGGCUAAAUAUUGGCGAGAGACCGAUAGCGAACAAGUACUGUAAAGGAAAGAUGAAAAGCACUUUGAAAAGAGAGUGAAAUAGCACGUGAAAUCGUUGAAGUGGAAGGGCUUAAAGCUACACACCUUCUUCGGAAGGGGCUAACAUCAGUUUUGCCGGAUGGAUAAAUGGUAAAGAAAGUGGCAUUUUCGGAUGUGUUAUAGCUUUAUCAAAUACAUCCCGGCGGGAUUGAGGACCGCGCUUUAUGCAAGGAUGUUGGCGUAAUGGUUUUAAGCCACCCGUCUUGAAACACGGACCAAGGAGUCUAUUGCUCAUGCGAGUGUUUGGGUGUUAAACUCGCAACGCGAAAUGAAAGUGAACGUAGAUUGGACCCGUUUGGUGCACAAUCGACCGAUCCUGAUGUUCUCGGAUGGAUUUGAGUAAGAGCAUGAGUGAUGGGACCCGAUAGAUGGUGAACUAUACCUGGUCAGGGUGAAGCCAGAGGAAACUCUGGUGGAAGCUCGCCGCAGUCCUGACGUGCAAAUCGGUUGUCAAAGCUGGGUAUAGGGGCGAAAGACUAAUCGAACCAUCUAGUAGCUGGUUCCUGCCGAAGUUUCCCUCAGGAAA
rnacentral:rRNA from 1 species